rnacentral:rRNA from 1 species
CGGGACACGUGGUAUCCUGUCUGAAUAUGGGGGGACCAUCCUCCAAGGCUAAAUACUCCUGACUGACCGAUAGUGAACCAGUACCGUGAGGGAAAGGCGAAAAGAACCCCGGCGAGGGGAGUGAAAAAGAACCUGAAACCGUGUACGUACAAGCAGUGGGAGCACGCUUAGGCGUGUGACUGCGUACCUUUUGUAUAAUGGGUCAGCGACUUAUAUUCUGUAGCAAGGUUAACCGAAUAGGGGAGCCGAAGGGAAACCGAGUCUUAACUGGGCGUUAAGUUGCAGGGUAUAGACCCGAAACCCGGUGAUCUAGCCAUGGGCAGGUUGAAGGUUGGGUAACACUAACUGGAGGACCGAACCGACUAAUGUUGAAAAAUUAGCGGAUGACUUGUGGCUGGGGGUGAAAGGCCAAUCAAACCGGGAGAUAGCUGGUUCUCCCCGAAAGCUAUUUAGGUAGCGCCUCGUGAAUUCAUCUCCGGGGGUAGAGCACUGUUUCGGCAAGGGGGUCAUCCCGACUUACCAACCCGAUGCAAACUGCGAAUACCGGAGAAUGUUAUCACGGGAGACACACGGCGGGUGCUAACGUCCGUCGUGAAGAGGGAAACAACCCAGACCGCCAGCUAAGGUCCCAAAGUCAUGGUUAAGUGGGAAACGAUGUGGGAAGGCCCAGACAGCCAGGAUGUUGGCUUAGAAGCAGCCAUCAUUUAAAGAAAGCGUAAUAGCUCACUGGUCGAGUCGGCCUGCGCGGAAGAUGUAACGGGGCUAAACCAUGCACCGAAGCUGCGGCAGCGACGCUGAUGCGUUGUUGGGUAGGGGAGCGUUCUGUAAGCCUGUGAAGGUGUGCUGUGAGGCAUGCUGGAGGUAUCAGAAGUGCGAAUGCUGACAUAAGUAACGAUAAAGCGGGUGAAAAGCCCGCUCGCCGGAAGACCAAGGGUUCCUGUCCAACGUUAAUCGGGGCAGGGUGAGUCGACCCCUAAGGCGAGGCCGAAAGGCGUAGUCGAUGGGAAACAGGUUAAUAUUCCUGUACUUGGUGUUACUGCGAAGGGGGGACGGAGAAGGCUAUGUUGGCCGGGCGACGGUUGUCCCGGUUUAAGCGUGUAGGCUGGUUUUCCAGGCAAAUCCGGAAAAUCAAGGCUGAGGCGUGAUGACGAGGCACUACGGUGCUGAAGCAACAAAUGCCCUGCUUCCAGGAAAAGCCUCUAAGCAUCAGGUAACAUCAAAUCGUACCCCAAACCGACACAGGUGGUCAGGUAGAGAAUACCAAGGCGCUUGAGAGAACUCGGGUGAAGGAACUAGGCAAAAUGGUGCCGUAACUUCGGGAGAAGGCACGCUGAUAUGUAGGUGAAGCGACUUGCUCGUGGAGCUGAAAUCAGUCGAAGAUACCAGCUGGCUGCAACUGUUUAUUAAAAACACAGCACUGUGCAAACACGAAAGUGGACGUAUACGGUGUGACGCCUGCCCGGUGCCGGAAGGUUAAUUGAUGGGGUCAGCGCAAGCGAAGCUCUUGAUCGAAGCCCCGGUAAACGGCGGCCGUAACUAUAACGGUCCUAAGGUAGCGAAAUUCCUUGUCGGGUAAGUUCCGACCUGCACGAAUGGCGUAAUGAUGGCCAGGCUGUCUCCACCCGAGACUCAGUGAAAUUGAACUCGCUGUGAAGAUGCAGUGUACCCGCGGCAAGACGGAAAGACCCCGUGAACCUUUACUAUAGCUUGACACUGAACAUUGAGCCUUGAUGUGUAGGAUAGGUGGGAGGCUUUGAAGUGUGGACGCCAGUCUGCAUGGAGCCGGCCUUGAAAUACCACCCUUUAAUGUUUGAUGUUCUAACGUUGACCCGUGAUCCGGGUUGCGGACAGUGUCUGGUGGGUAGUUUGACUGGGGCGGUCUCCUCCUAAAGAGUAACGGAGGAGCACGAAGGUUGGCUAAUCCUGGUCGGACAUCAGGAGGUUAGUGCAAUGGCAUAAGCCAGCUUGACUGCGAGCGUGACGGCGCGAGCAGGUGCGAAAGCAGGUCAUAGUGAUCCGGUGGUUCUGAAUGGAAGGGCCAUCGCUCAACGGAUAAAAGGUACUCCGGGGAUAACAGGCUGAUACCGCCCAAGAGUUCAUAUCGACGGCGGUGUUUGGCACCUCGAUGUCGGCUCAUCACAUCCUGGGGCUGAAGUAGGUCCCAAGGGUAUGGCUGUUCGCCAUUUAAAGUG